rnacentral:lncRNA from 1 species
AGGGGCUUCACUGCCCCACACCCCUGAGCCCAGAUCUUAGACCCCAAUCCCUGCUGGCUACCCAGGAUGUCAUCCCCUCUCCACCUCACCAGGACAUCCGGGCUUUGGCCGGCCGGACUGGCCAAGCCCCUGGAGAAAGGCCUGUGCUGCCCUGUCCAGGCAGGGGCCCUCUGCCCACAGACCCCCACCAACCAGGAGGACUGGGGCGGCAUGUGUCCUGGUGCCCUGAGGUACCCAAUGCGGCCAACAGACAGAGCAAGACUCAGGAGGCUGCAGUUCAGCUUUAUUCUCAUGCCCCUCAUGUCCAGUUAAGGCUCAAGAUCAGCCCAGGCCACAGUCCCCCAGCACUGGGACUCAGCUCCCCACCUGGACAGGGCACGGGGUUCUCUUGCCGACUCCUGCCAGCCUCCUUCAGCUGGGGGAUCCCCCAGAGACCGCUGCCUCAGCGGGAGCCACCUGGAAGAACCAGAACUCCGGCCUGGAGCUGCUCGUGGGGGCCAGCCAUCCCCCCUGUCCACACACUCGUCCCAGCUCCAUCUCCGGGCCCCGGCGCUGACCGUGGAGGAUCUCAGGGCCCAGGCCUCCUUGUCCAAGGACUCCCCUUGGGGUCCCUGGCUCCCUGAGCUCUUGGGCUGCCUGGGGCCUCCGCUGACACUCCAGUGCCGAGAAGGCUGCACUCCCAAGCCUGCUGUUCCCACGGUGUCACUGGCUGAGGGAUGGGGUGAGGGGACGUUUCUCCGGUUCCUGUGCCUCGGGGCCUAGAGGGAAAGGCUCAGCUCAGACCUGCUUCCCUCAGGAGGACUCCCAGAGUCCCAGGAGGGCCACAGGCUCGAGCACCUUCUGCCCACCCCCGACCUGCCAAUACCCCCCGCUUCCAGCUGCACCACGCCUGCUGUUCCCUCAGCGGUUCCCUCUGCCCAGAAUGCUGUUCUCAGCUAUGUCCACACGACAAACUCUCCCCUCCAAGUCUUUGCUCCAAUUUCACAUCCUCUCUGAGGCCCACCCCAGCACCCCAGUUACUAAAAUUCCAACCAGCCUGCCCAGAGCUCCUGAGCUCCUGACCCCUCCCCUGCUCUCCUUUCUUCCCAGAGCAUUAGCGCCUCCUGAUGGACCAGCCGGGUCUAGGGCUGAGCUGCCCAGGGCGGAGCUAAGUAGGGUCUCAGCGGAGUUCUCCCAUCCCACACCAGGUCCUGGGAGGCACAAGGCAACCACUGGGCCCAGGGCCAGUGCGGAAGUGGACAGAGCUUGCAGGAGACACAGGGGACAAGAAGGAAGCCUCCUCCCCCAAGGAGCUGGUGGGUCCACAAAGAGUUGGGGGGCUGGCUGGUACAGCGACCCUUGUCCCUCACCUUUGCUGUGGGAGACGGGCGCCCCCAGGGGGCCUGGAUGGCGCUGUCGGAAUCGUUGCCUAGGGGUGUCCCCAGGGCUGAAUGACUCAGAGCUUCGCCCCACCGGGAACCUUGAGCUGAGUUUCCGCCGCUGCCCGCCUGCCAAGGUCUCAUCCCGCAGGCAGAGGGAGCUCUGGGCCCGGCGCAUGGGUGCCGGGGAAGGGGACCCUG